AGCUUGCUCCUCUGACGUUAGCGGCGGACGGGUGAGUAACACGUGGAUAACCUACCUAUAAGACUGGGAUAACUUCGGGAAACCGGAGCUAAUACCGGAUAAUAUAUUGAACCGCAUGGUUCAAUAGUGAAAGACGGUUUUGCUGUCACUUAUAGAUGGAUCCGCGCCGCAUUACCUAGUUGGUAAGGUAACGGCUUACCAAGGCAACGAUGCGUAGCC
rnacentral:rRNA from 1 species